rnacentral:rRNA from 1 species
UACGUAGGGUGCGAGCGUUAAUCGGAAUUACUGGGCGUAAAGCGUGCGCAGGCGGUUAUGUAAGACAGUUGUGAAAUCCCCGGGCUCAACCUGGGAAUUGCAUCUGUGACUGCAUAGCUAGAGUACGGUAGAGGGGGGUGGAAUUCCGCGUGUAGCAGUGAAAUGCGUAGAUAUGCGGAGGAACACCGAUGGCGAAGGCAAUCCCCUGGACCUGUACUGACGCUCAUGCACGAAAGCGUGGGGAGCAAACAGG